UACGGAGGGUGCAAGCGUUAUCCGGAUUCACUGGGUUUAAAGGGUGCGUAGGCGGGCAGGUAAGUCAGUGGUGAAAUCUCCGAGCUUAACUCGGAAACUGCCGUUGAUACUAUUUGUCUUGAAUAUUGUGGAGGUAAGCGGAAUAUGUCAUGUAGCGGUGAAAUGCUUAGAUAUGACAUAGAACACCAAUUGCGAAGGCAGCUGGCUACACAAAUAUUGACGCUGAGGCACGAAAGCGUGGGGAUCAAACAGG
rnacentral:rRNA from 1 species